AGCCCUUGAAACUCCAGGAAGAUUGCUGGUGGCUUGGAAGGCUUUGGAGCUGGCCUCUAGGACAGUCCAUGUCUUAAGACCAGUCCCAAUCAGUGUUGAGUGGGCAAAGGAGAGCCUCCUUUUAGCCAAGUACAGGAGGCUUACGGGCAGAAAGCAGCAUUGAGGUGACCAUUGCAGCUCUAUGCGUGUACGUUUGCAGUCUGCUGUUGCCAAGUGGACUUUUUGCCUCUCUGUGGGGAGCCAACGGAUGGGUGAAGGCAGCCAGCAAAAGAAGUGGGUUGGGGACAAGGAGAUAGCUGCCAUCUCCUUGCCAAUAUAGAAGUGGAGUGGCAGGAGCCAGCAGCUCUGCUGCUCCUGAGCUGCUGCUCAGAAAGAGGCCUGCCAGUGGGGAAAGUGCUAUUACCUUCAGCAGAAAAAGCAGCUGGGAUUCAAACCUGUCUCAAAAGUCCUUUAGGAGGGAGACGCUGCUCUGGUAGAAAGAAUUUGCCUCCUGCAGGCAAGCUGAGUAAAGAUGAGAGUUCUGGAAAAGCAUCUUCCGUGACUGAAUGCUGCAAGGGGCCCAGCUCUCAGUCCCUGUUCUGUGAGAUUGCCAGGCCAAGACACAGAUGCCAUGUUCAUGAAAUUGCGGAGCCCUGUCAUGUGAGUG
rnacentral:lncRNA from 1 species